rnacentral:lncRNA from 1 species
UUAGAGAUUGUGAUUAGUAAUAAAUAAAUUAAUUUCUACUUAUAUAUUGUUCAUCAAUUUUUAUCCAAUCAUUGAUUGGUUUAAAUAUAAACCAGUUACUGUAAUUAACUUUAGAUUCUAUUUUUUGUUAAAUUUAUCAUAAAAAUAAUUUUUUAGACAAAUCAAAUGCAUGUAUUAUUGCAUUUGCUUUUCUUUAAAGUGAUGUUAAUAUAAAAUUUAUUUGAUAAUUCCAAUUCAAAGACACACGUAAUGAUAAGUUUUUCAAGAUGUGCUCGAGUGCCUCUCUCAUCAGUUUUCAAAAGAAUUGAGAUGGAUUCGAAAAAGGACAAAACACUGAAAAAAUAUAUAAAACUUGAGAAAAGUUAGGGAUUGGUUGGUGACAUAAUCUAAAUUUAAAAAUAGUUUCAACUAAAAAAUGCAAAGAAAUUCCUUUCACCACCCCACCAACAUAUUUUUAAAAACACACGUAUACGUUGGCUGAAUGAAGACAGCAAAGACAAAUAGUGGGAGGCACAGUUGAUUAGGUUUGUAUCAAUUGUGAUUCUAAUAUUCCUGUCAUUCCAUAUAUCUAUAUCAUAGAUUUAGAAAAUUAUAGUUGGAAAUUACACUGCAUCAUAAAGGAACCAAGAGUAGCGGUGGAAUUUUCUGGGUUUUUCAAAGUUGGUGUGUGGUAGACUCUUUGGCAUAAAGGUAGUGGAAAAAGAGAAGAUGAAUUAUUUCAAUAUCGAUAUGAUGAUGAUUUUUUUUUUUUUUUGUUUUCUAUUCCUGGAAGUCUGGAAUAAGAAGAUAUCGCCGACCACUGUAUGAGAUGUGUCAAGGGUCUCAUCGUGUCCACAGACAAAACUACAAAUCAACAACACAACAACAUAUUCCCAUAAAUUCUUAUGCCGUCCAUGUUUUGGUCAGUUUUGGGCUGCUCGGUUUGUUGUGUUCCCAUUCAUUUUCUUUAUAGUAUAUUGAGUUUGAUCCAAAUAAAAAAGAAAAAAUUGAAGUGGCGAAAUUUGGAAAAAUAAUGUGUGAAAGGAAUAAAUCAAUUUACUCUUGUGCAUACCGAUUCUUAAAACUAUGGGAGACUUUCCAUUUAAUACAUUAGCUCACUUCCCU